CGAAUCUUUGAACGCAUAUUGCCCCCGAGGCCUCGGCCGAGGGCAUGUCUGCCUGAGCGUC
rnacentral:rRNA from 1 species